UACGUAGGGUGCGAGCGUUAAUCGGAAUUACUGGGCGUAAAGUGUGCGCAGGCGGCAGAGCAAGUCGAGUGUGAAAGCCCCGGGCUUAACUUGGGAAUUGCGCUCGAAACUACCUUGCUGGAGUGUGGCAGAGGAAGGUGGAAUUCACGUGUAGCGUGAAAUGCGUAGAGAUGUGGAGGAACACCAAUGGCGAAGGCAGCCUUCUGGGCCAACACUGACGCUCAUGACACGAAAGCGUGGGGAGCAAACAGG
rnacentral:rRNA from 1 species